rnacentral:rRNA from 1 species
GACGAACGCUGGCGGCGCGCCUAACACAUGCAAGUCGAACGAGAGAGAAGGAGCUUGCUUCUUCGAUCGAGUGGCGAACGGGUGAGUAACGCGUGAGGAACUCGCCUCAAAGAGGGGGACAACAGUUGGAAACGACUGCUAAUACCGCAUAAGCCCACGGGUCGGCAUCGACCUGAGGGAAAAGGAGUGAUCCGCUUUGAGAUGGCCUCGCGUCCGAUUAGCUAGUUGGUGAGGUAAUGGCCCACCAAGGCGACGAUCGGUAGCCGGACUGAGAGGUUGAACGGCCACAUUGGGACUGAGACACGGCCCAGACUCCUACGGGAGGCAGCAGUGGGGAAUAUUGCACAAUGGGGGAAACCCUGAUGCAGCGACGCCGCGUGGAGGAAGAAGGUCUUCGGAUUGUAAACUCCUGUUGUUGAGGAAGAUAAUGACGGUACUCAACAAGGAAGUGACGGCUAACUACGUGCCAGCCGCCGCCGUAAUAC